GUCUGGUGCAAUAGAAAGAAUGUAUCUAACAGUAAAUUACAGAUCAAACUCCUUGUUCUACUCUCUCCCCCCUUCUCACUUCUGAGCUUGACUAGUCUUAA
rnacentral:sRNA from 1 species